rnacentral:lncRNA from 1 species
AAUAAAUAAGGCACUGUUGCCAGGGCCUGAGCCCAGCAGAAAAAGGGUGUGUGCAGAGGGAGGGCCUUGGGUCCUGCUGCUCCUCCUGGACUCCUUCAUCCCAAUGCCUUCACAUCCUCCUCUGACAAGGACUCCCACGUCCCUCCCCGGCUAACCUGGAUCCUGCUCAACCCAACACCUGCCUUCUCUCAGUCCCUGGGUUCCUGCAGGCCUUGGGGCCCCACAGUCAUAUCUGCUGUUCCUGCAGCAAUCAGCCAUGACUGCCUUUGCACUGUCCAUGCUCUCAGCCCACCACCUCGUCCCCCUGCCAUUGCAGUGGCUAACACUGGAGACGAAGACCAAGACACCACCGCCUUUCUCCAGUACCUCUCAAAUCAGCACAGACAAGGACAAAGGCCUCAAUCCACAACUGCUGAUGAUGGACCCUGGCCACAUGGGAUGGUCAGACGCGCCUGCCCAGCUAUCUGCAGGCGAAGAGGCUCAGAAGAGGUUUGGGGGCCUGAAGGACAUCUUGCUCCCAUGUGCAUAUGGGCAGGCUAUUUCUGCUCCAUGAGUCAAUUUUGCCAUAUAAAAUACUUAAUUUCAGCCAUUCCAGGGUGCUAUAGGAUGCACAGCUUCCCAUCAGCCCACCUGAACUCCAGCCAUGCCAUUUUAAUACCAGGAAUGAGGUCACCUGCUUUCCUGCCCCUUAGGAGGCCAGAGC